GCCUCGAAGGAAGGUUUUUGUUGAGAGGUGAAUGUUAGAGUCAUCACUGUGACUCACAUUCGGUGGCGGGACCAGGCUGGAAAUCAAACGGAGUGUGGCUCAGCCAACUGUUUCCAUCUUCCCACCAUCGACUGAAGAGUUGAAUUCUGGAAGUGCCUCAGUUGUGUGCUUCGCUAAUAACUUCUAUCCAAAAGAUAUCAACCUUAAGUGGAAGGUGGAUGGCAGUGACCGCACAGGUGACAUCAAGAGUAUCACGGAGCAGGACAGCAAGGACAGCACCUACAGCCUCAGCAGCACCCUGCCGCUGACCGCUGCAGAGUACAAAAGCCAUGACAGCUAUAUCUGCGAGGUCUCCCACGAGGGCCUGACCUCACCCAUUGUCCAGCGCUUCAACAGGAAUGAGUGUUAAAGCCAGGGGCCCAACAGGCAACACGCCUGGCCCUUGGGCCCACCCAGCCUCGAGCUUCCUCCUCAGACCCCUGGCCCUCUCCCAGGGGGACCUACCCUGUCCCGGUCCUCCAGCCCCUCUCUCUACCUCCCUGCCUCCCCCUCCUUGGCUUUAAUCAUGCUGAUACUUGGGGGAAACAAUGAAUAAAGUGAAUCUUUGCACCUGA